CGGAGCAAGACAGUUAAAUAAAACAUGGUAAAGUGUUCAUUAGAACAGUUGAAGAAAGCAAAAACAAUGGCAACCAUUGCUGCGUGGCAAAGCUCAAAGACUGCUCUUUCUUUAUCCUCAAACUCCUCCUUGGGCCAGCGUCUCUCAAUUCCUCCUCCUCUCUCCCCUCUGCAUCGGUGAAUCGUGAAGUGCGGGGCUCUCCUCUUGUGGAUUUGUAGUCGAAAUCAUUUGGGGUCUUGGGGUUCUGGUGACUUCAGGGUGGGACUGUAUAUAUGGAGGAAGUGUUCUGGAAGGCGACCCUCGCCUAUAUUCUGGCAGCUUGGCUGCAUAUUAUCUGAUAUGUGUCGUAAUGACAUAACACAGUGUAUAGGGUUGGGUGGGUGUUUUUAACCCCGUAUGAUGUGUUGGGAUGGUCGGAGAUGGUAUGUAGAGGAUGGAGGUAAUCCAUAGACUUAGGCAGAUCGGUGCGGCUAAGACUCAGCGGUGACCACUCAACCGUAAAUUGUUUAAACUUAGUAAUUUAUGGUUUAUUUAAAAUUCUGGAUUUAUUUGAGAGUUUGUAAUUUUUGGGACUCUCUAAACUGUAUGGUUUUUAACUGUUGAUUUUUGGUUUGUUGAUAAUUUGCAUGCUUCGAUAAAAUGUUUUAUGAAAAUGAUGGUUUUACGCAAAUAAA